CCCGAUUUUGUUUUUUGUCCAUAGAUUUACGAUUUUUGAACAUCGGUAUACUACUGUUGCCUUUAUUUUUUAAUAACAGGAAAAACAAGACGGAAGCCACAUAUGGAGAAUGAUCUGCUUACCCUUCCGGAGCACAUGAGAUCACCCCCAGAUUUUUGUGGGUUUGUUUUGCUCAGUCUUGAGUUUUCUAUGUUGCUGUUUGUAUACUAUUUUUUGUCUUUUUCUUGUUUAACCAUGGCUUCGUCUGUUUGUUUUCG
rnacentral:lncRNA from 1 species